rnacentral:sRNA from 1 species
AUUCUGCCCAUGCGGGGAAGGAUGAGAAGCUUCGACCAAGGUUCGACUCGAGCGCCAGCGAGAGAGCGUUGCCGCAGGCAACGACCCGAAGGGCGAAGCGCCGAGCAGCGCUGAGUAAAUCCAC